rnacentral:rRNA from 1 species
UACGUAGGGGGGCAAGCGUUGUCCGGAUUUAUUGGGCGUAAAGAGCGUGUAGGCGGCUUCACAGGUCCGCUGUGAAAACUCGAGGCUCAACCUCGAGCUGUCGGUGGAAACCGUGUGGCUAGAGUCCGGAAGAGGAGAGUGGAAUUCCCGGUGUAGCGGUGAAAUGCGCAGAUAUCGGGGAAGAACACCCGUGGCGAAGGCGGCUCUCUGGGACGGUACUGACGCUGAGACGCGAAAGCGUGGGGAGCGAACAGG